AAGUCGUAACAAGGUUUCCGUAGGUGAACCUGCGGAAGGAUCAUUAACGAGUUUUGAAAUGGGUUGUAGCUGGCCUAAUCGGCAUGUGCACGCCCUGCUCAUCCACUCACUAUACCCCUGUGCACCUAUUGUAGGCUUGGUGGGACAAUUAGCUGCUUGCAGUUAGUUUGAAAGCCUUGUCUAUGUUUUAACACAAACGCUUCAGUUUAAAGAAUGUUUAUACCAUUUGCGUCUAACGCAUGAAAUACAACUUUCAGCAACGGAUCUCUUGGCUCUC
rnacentral:misc_RNA from 1 species